UUUAAAAUAAGAUGCCUCGACUACUAUAGGUUGUUGGGCGUUACAAGAUAAGAGAAAAUUACAGGUAAGUGAUUUGAGUUAAGGAAAACACCAACCAGGGUGAAUGAGUUAUUGCACUGUAAUGCAGAUUCUGAUUGCUUGAGGUGCUGAUCUGGGCUUACUGAGCGAUUUAUGCUCAUCCAAUUAUUUAUUGUUAUUUUUCCAAAUCAAAUAAAAUAAGAGGGUGAUCCCAAUCCAAUGAACGUAGU
rnacentral:lncRNA from 1 species